AACGAACGCUGGCGGCAGGCUUAACACGUGCAAGUCGAACGGGCGUAGCAAUACGUCAGUGGCAGACGGGUGAGUAACACGUGGGAACCUUCCUCGUUGUACGGAACAACUCAGGGAAACUUGAGCUAACACCGGAUGUGCCCUUCGGGGGAAAGAUUUAUCGCCUUUAGAGCGGCCCGCGUCUGAUUAGCUAGUUGGUGAGGUAAAGGCUCACCAAGGCGACGAUCAGUAGCUGGUCUGAGAGGAUGAUCAGCCACAUUGGGACUGAGACACGGCCCAAACUCCUACGGGAGGCAGCAGUGGGGAAUCUGGCGCAAUGGGCGAAAGCCUGACGCAGCCAUGCCGCGUGAAUGAUGAAGGUCUUAGGAUUGUAAAAUUCUUUCACCGGGGACGAUAAUGACGGUACCCGGAGAAGAAGCCCCGGCUAACUUCGUGCCAGCAGCCGCCGUAACAC
rnacentral:rRNA from 1 species